rnacentral:tRNA from 8 species
GGACCCUUAGCUCAGUUGGUUAGAGCCACCGGCUCAUAACCGGUUGGUCGCUGGUUCGAGUCCAGCAGGGUCCACCA